GACCCGCGUCUGAUUAGCUAGUUGGUAAGGUAACGGCUUACCAAGGCGACGAUCAGUAGCCGACCUGAGAGGGUGAUCGGCCACAUUGGAACUGAGACACGGUCCAAACUCCUACGGGAGGCAGCAGUGGGGAAUAUUGCACAAUGGGCGAAAGCCUGAUGCAGCAACGCCGCGUGAGUGAUGAAGGCCUUCGGGUCGUAAAACUCUGUCCUCAAGGAAGAUAAUGACGGUACUUGAGGAGGAAGCCCCGGCUAA
rnacentral:rRNA from 1 species